rnacentral:lncRNA from 1 species
AAGUGCUUUUAUGUCUUUUAAAUAUUUUUUUUGUUUGUUUAUUGCAGGAGGAUUUCUAAGGUGUCUGCAAGUGGCUGUGUUGCUGUUAAAUUUAAUGGGCUCCAGCUGUGCAAUGGCAUUAUCAUAUUUUGGUGAGGCAGCUGUUUGAGGUGAAUGUACCAAAAGCAGCAGGUGAUCACCAUGACUCACUGGGCACAGACUUCUUGCUGAGGGGCUGUUGUCUGAUGAUGACAUCUGCCAUGGAUGAGUGCAAACAGAAAAAGAGGAUUACAGUCUGUGAGGAGGGAGAAGAAGCAUUCAUCUCAAUAAUCCACAUCAUGUGCCUCGACAAGAUGAGACUAUUUUGCUCUCUUCACCGUGUGCCGCCUGUGGAAAUUGUGUUUCUUGGUGCUUUUUCUGUCUCCUCCCCAUUUUGCAAGAGGUCCAGGGUGGGGAGCUCCAGAGGUGCUUUCUCAGCAGGGCACAGCAAGCAGACUUCUGGAAGCUGCAUGAGUACAUCCAGAGCUGGAGUGCCCACACUUCCAGCAUGAUGUGUGUGCAGAUGGGAG